rnacentral:lncRNA from 1 species
CGACGGCUCCGAGAAGAAAAGCUUUCGGCUCGGAAACGCUGCUCCAGCGAAGCCCGGUUUUUAAUAAAAACCCGCUGUAAGUGAGCUACGCCUAUAGUAUAUUUAAUAUAGAUUUUAUUUAAUUAUAGUAACAUUGUUAGGACCUUAAAAUAAUUAUUUAGGCUAUUAUUAUGAGUUAUAUUGAGUGUUAUUUAACGCUUAUAUAAUAGUAAUAAUAGCUAGACUAUUAAAUUAGUCUCGUCAAGCGUUAGACUAAACUCUAGUGGUAAUGAUACUAGGUUUCGUCAAGGGAUAAUUGUUUUAAGAGUAACGAAGUGCUGUCCGAGUGCCGACUCACCACCUUUCAGGUGAGUGCAUAGUCCCUUUCAUCUUACACAUAGAUAUGAAGUAUUUUAUAUAAACUACGUGCUAUGUGUGCACAUUAUCUGAAUACUUGCUGUCUAUGCUGGUUGAACGUUUUAUACAUGUUUUAAAGGACUUAAACUGUAUACGUAUUUUAUAUAUACGAAAAUGUUGGGUAUGAGAUGGGUAGAUGAAUGAUGAGAGAUAGAAGAUGACGUGAGUAUACAUUGGCAGCUAUAGACUUAGUGCCUAUGGGACAAACACCGGUAGCUAUGGACUUAGUACCUUUUAGACGUUGGUAGCUAUGGAUUUAGUACCUGUUGGGAAUUGGUAGCUAUGGACUUAGUACCUAUUAGUUAGACGCUGGUAGCUAAGGAUUUAGUACCUGUAGGAAUUGGUAGCUAUGGACUUAGUACCUGUUGAACAUUGGUAGCUAUGGACUUAGUACCUAUUAGAUAAAGACUGGUAGCUAUGGAUUUAGUACCCGAUGAAUAGACUAUAGCAGCUAUGGAAUUAGUGCUUUAUGAACGAACAUUGGCAGCUAUGGAUUUAGUGCCAGUCCUAUAACCCUGGAAGUAAGGGACUUCGGAAUAAACGAAUGCAGGAUAGACGACUCUUAGGUUAAAUCCUUAAGAGUAAAGAAGAUAACGGGGAUGGGUAAUGGGGUUAAUUGUUUGAUGAUUAAACAUAACAAUUAUAUUAUUGUGGGUUGAAAACCCUAUGUACUCACCAGGUUUCCCAACCUGACCCACUCAGUUUAUGUAUAUCACAGGUGACGAAGUGAAGUGACAUUACACUGAGAGAUUUAAAGAGAUGUAGAUCACUAGUGUAAAUCAUUGUAAGUUCUGUUUAUGCUUAUGUUUCGGUAUUAACGAUGACAUCCCAAACGUUUUAAAAUGAAAUAAAUACGUUUCCUCGAAAAUGUUUUAAUAACGUAUUUACCAUGUUUUUCUGGGAACACAUUCCGCAACCUUUUUAUAAAACGAAGUACUCUGAUUUUCAUAAAGCAUAAACAAAAUCGGUCUUUUCUGGCCGUGAUUUUGGGGAUGUCACAGAACUCGCCGAGUUGUUCUUAAGACUCGGCGAGUUGAGUCGGGGUGGCCCCGCGAUUCAUGCCAGGUGGAACUCGUCGAGUCAAGGGAAAUACUCGACGUGCCAAGAGAGAAUCUAAGAGAGUCAGUGGACAUGUGUAGACUCGCCGAGUCGCCUUUGUGCACUCGCCGAGUCAGGUCAAGUUUGACCGUUGACCUUGUUGACUUUUAGGGUUGAGUACAGUUGUAUUUAUGAGAGUAUUACUUUAUGUGAUUAGGCGGAGGCUAGAUCAUACUUCUUCCGAGUCAGAUAUUUUCCGAGACAUCGAGGUGAGUCUUCUCACUAUACGUUACCUAGAGUGGUACUAUGUGAUGACCAGAGGGUCUUAUGUGUUAUGUAUGAGAUUAUGUGCUAUGUGAUAAUUGUAUGUUGUAUGAUGAUAUAGACCGGACCGGAGGGUCCAACGAGUUAUGACCUGACCUAAGGGUCCAACGAACUACGGGACUGGAGGGUCCCGCUGAGACACAUUGACCGGAGGGUCAUGUUAUAGCCUUGAGUGGCGUAUGUGCUGUAUGUGGUAUUUUGGGGAACUCACUAAGCAUUUAUGCUUACAGUUGUUGUGUUAUGUGUUUCAGGUACUAGUGAUGAGUGCGGGAAUGCGCCAGCAUGAUUCGUACACACACGCAUUAGAGUUUUUGUAGAGAUUCUGGGGAAAUGUUUUGUAAUAAUAACAUUGAUACAAUGUGUUUGACAAUAUUUAUGAAUGAAUGAAUGUUUUAAAAAUGAAAAAGUUAUUUUGAAAAUUUACGUUGUUACAUUUUUAUUAUGAGGUACCAAAUCGAAAUAAGAAAAACUAGUGUUAUC